rnacentral:rRNA from 1 species
AGAGUUUGAUCCUGGCUCAGGACGAACGCUGGCGGCGUGCUUAACACAUGCAAGUCGAGCGAUGAAGCACCUUCGGGUGUGAAUUAGCGGCGAACGGGUGAGGAACACGUGAAGAAUCUGCCUUCAACUCUGGGAUAACUCCGGGAAACCGGGGCUAAUACCGGAUAUGAGCCUUGAUCGCAUGAUUGGGGCUGGAAAGUUUUUCGGUUGAAGAUGACUUCGCGGCCUAUCAGCUUGUUGGUGAGGUAAUGGCUCACCAAGGCGACGACGGGUAGCCGGCCUGAGAGGGCGACCGGCCACACUGGGACUGAGACACGGCCCAGACUCCUACGGGAGGCAGCAGUGGGGAAUAUUGGGCAAUGGAGGAAACUCUGACCCAGCGACGCCGCGUGAGGGAUGAAGGCCUUCGGGUUGUAAACCUCUUUCAGUAGGGAAGAAGCGAAAGUGACGGUACCUACAGAAGAAGCACCGGCUAACUAUGUGCCAGCAGCCGCGGUAAUACAUAGGGUGCAAGCGUUGUCCGGAAUUAUUGGGCGUAAAGAGCUCGUAGGUGGUUCGAUACGUCGGAUGUGAAAAUCAGGGGCUCAACCCCUGACCUGCAUCCGAUACGGUCGAGCUAGAGUUUGGUAGGGGAGACUGGAAUUCCUGGUGUAGCGGUGGAAUGCGCAGAUAUCAGGAGGAACACCGAUGGCGAAGGCAGGUCUCUGGGCCAAUACUGACACUGAGGAGCGAAAGCGUGGGGAGCGAACAGGAUUAGAUACCCUGGUAGUCCACGCC